rnacentral:misc_RNA from 1 species
GGAUCCCAUGCUGUGGCACAAGGUCGCCGCUCUCUCUGGAAUCGCUGCCCUCGGCCUCGGCACCUACGGAGCUCAUGGAUUCAAGCCCCAAAACCCAUCAUACAAAGAUGUCUGGCACACUGCGUCCCUUUAUCACUUGGUUCACACCGCAGCACUAGUUGCCGCACCGGUCACCAAACAUCCCAAUAUUUUCGGAGGGCUUCUGACGACGGGGAUCUUGGCAUUUUCUGGGACAUGCUAUACGGUGGCGUAUCUCGAAGACCGGAAGUACU